rnacentral:rRNA from 1 species
CCUACUGGAGGCAGCAGUGAGGAAUAUUGGACAAUGGGCGAGAGCCUGAAGGAGCGAAGCCGCGUGAAGGAUGAAGGAUCUAGGGUUGGUAAACGUCGUUUAUAUGGGAAUAAAGUGAGGAACGUGUUCCUUUUUGUAUGUACCAUACGAAUAAGCAUCGGCUAACUCCGUGCCAGCAGCCGCGGUAAAACGGAGGAUGCGAGCGUUAUCCGGUUUUAUUGGGUUUAAAGGGUGCGUAGGUGGUUAAUUAAGUCAGCGGUGAAAGUUUGUGGCUCAACCAUAAAAUUGCCGUUGAAACUGGUUGACUUGAGUAUAUUUGAGGUAAGCGGAAUGCGUGGUGUAGCGGUGAAAUGCAUAGAUAUCACGCAGAACUCCGAUUGCGAAGGCAGCUUACUAGACUAUAAUUGACGCUGAGGCACGAAAGCGUGGGGAUCAAACAGGAUUAGAUACCCCAGUAGUC